GUUUCUAAAAAUAGCUCGCUCGCGGUUCCCCAUUAAAGCAACCCUGGACCAACAACGCCACAAACUGGUUAUGCUGACGCCACCAGAAUGGGACAAACUGCAGAGACUGAGCACUCUUCUAGAGCCCUGCAGGUAUGUAACUGAGAUUCUGGGUGGAGAGGCCUAUAUCUCCUGUUCAGUAGUACUGCCUGCCCUCCGCCACCUGCGUCAAGUGAUGAAGGUCUCUGAAGAAGACCCUGCAUAUGUGGCGAGCUUUAAGACAAGCUUCAUGGAAGACCUUGCCUCCCGCCAA